UUCACAUAACUAUGAAGCAGGACUAAUCACCAAUCCCACCAUGGGCAGGACAGCAGAGAUCGUCACUAUGCUAACUGCCAGGAAUAGGAAUCCACACACUUCCGCCCACUGCAUCCUGGCCUGAAGUGCUACCAGUGUCUGUUGGAGACACGCUCACAUGCAACAAGUAAUGUGAAGUGGCUUUAGUAUAAUACAGACAGGCAGCAAGGGACAAAAGAAGCCUAGGAUCCAUUGUGAGGCAGUCCUCAAGGCUCAAGACAGCUGUCUGGGAAGGCACUAUUCUGAGUGUUGGAAGAUAUAGCAGUGGACAAAACUGAUAAAACAUCUCUGCCUUCAUGAAGACUAAUGAGGAGACAUGUGCCCAGUGACAAAGUUUAGAGUCAAGAACAGGGAUGUCUGGCCUCACUUUGGAUAAUCUGGACCUUUUCUGCUGCAAGCAUACCACUAGAUAGAAAAGAGGACCUGUGAAACAUCUUCUCCACAUUUCCCUUCCCUAGUGGGAAGCUUAUUGUUUCAGAGUCAAGAACUUGGUUCCAGGCUACAGUCCCAUGGCUACCAUUCUCUAACUGUUACUUUGCACUUCUAAGAUCAUGAAAGGUGAGCCCAUGAAAUUAAACUUUUGUUAAAAAGUGGAAGAACUUCAGAAUUGGAAGACCCCCGUCCAUGCAGUAAUCUCUUCAACAGCAUAUUUGGCAGAUGAUCAUCCAGGUCCAGUAUGGAUAUCACUACUGGCAGAGUUCACAAAAAUCAGACCAUCCUUUAUUGGCAACUGGGAUCUGGAUAAGUUCUUUCCCAGUUUCAACCUCCGUGGAACUGUGUUGUGUCCUCUUCAACUUUAUUUGAGGAAUUUUUACUGAACUGGAUCCAGGAUCAGAUUGUGUCUGAUAACUAACUAGAUUGGUUCCAGUUAGAGACCUCGGGUACGUACCUUUUGAAAUGAGUUCCUCCAAAUCUAAGAAGCCUAGGACUCCAUUUUUUGGGACAAUAGCUAAUGUUUUAUACAAAAAUUAUGAGCUCUGAACCUGUGCAUUUUUGGAAAAAACUGGUUAAUUUUACUAAGAACAACUUAGAAUUACAGUCAUCACAAUGUGGAAGUUUUAACCUAGUUAAAAAUAUUCACUUAUGAGGUGCAUUAGGAAAGAAAGGAUCCAAAAUGCCAAAAAAGAAAGGUGAUACAUUCUUUAAUUGGUGCAUAGAAGUAUCUAAACAUUUAAAUUAAAUCAAAGUUUGCCUCUUUAAAAGUUUCCUUAAAAAAGACAAAUGAAAACAAAUCUUAAAAGUCUUUUUAAUAAUUAUUAGUCAAAAGCUUUAGCCAUCUGUGCUGGAAAUCUUGUUCUAUGGUCUAGAAAAACAAUUUGAGCCCAGAUACUCUUUAAUAAAUUAGUGAGUUUGCAUUAUUGUACCUGACACAUGGCUAAAAUUUUUGAAUAAAAGCUCUAAGGUCUUUUUCUGUCUAGAUGUUUAUGUAUGUGAUGGAAUUAUUUAUAUGUUUUUCUAAAAAUUGAGCAUUAAUAUAAAAAUACAUUGAUACAAAACUAGAACUUGGUCCACCUGUUAAAACAACACAACUUUUUUGCAGUAUUUAUCUGCUCUGAAUAGGAAAUUGGGAAAGGUCUUCCUUUACCUUUUGCGUAAUUGGCCCAAAAAACAAAGAUUCCAUGUUUUACCAAGAUAAUUUCCUUUGCUUUAUGUUGUCUUUUUCAGGUUUUUGAUUACUUAAGAACGCUGAGACUUCUCUACUAAAAGAGCUCAGGUUUUUCUAUAACUAUGUAACUUUCUAUAUUUGUCUUUGAAGUCUUUUAAUAUUACCUUGGUUAAAUAAAUGAAUUGUUCACAGUGACCUGUGAUCCUAUUUUGAUCAAAUAUUUUAACUCUUUGAUAUUUUUGAUAAACUUCUAAAAUCAAAUUCUAAAUUAAUUCUUUUUCUGGACCUCAAAUAAACUUUGGUAUUUUCAAGAUGAACUUUUGGAACUUUUCAAAGGAAUACCUCUCCUGAUAAAAAGAGAGAUACUAAAAUAACUGGGCUUAUUUGACAUAUUAAAUUAUAUGGGAAGCAUUGUCAAAUAAUAAAAGUAAUGCCAAAUUUUCUUUGAGCCCUAUUUGCAUAGAUAUGUUAUUGAUGUGUUUCAGAAACUGUAUAAAGUUUAUAGAAAUCUAAUAGUCCUAGUAUAACUCUAACAGUUAUAAUUCUAGUUAUUAUCUUAAAAUGUUUUAUGCAACAGAAAUAACCAAAACACUUUGUCAAUUGAAUCAUUAUUAUAAUGAACUGUCAUCAUAUCUUUAACCAUGGACAUUUCAGGUCUUGUCAUUUACAGGUGGUUAAUUGUUUACUCUGAUACUUUCCUAACUAUAAGCCUAAAGUGUUUCAUCUUCAUGGAGAUUAAUGAAAAAUACUCUAACAAGUACAGGUUUCUGAUAACUUCAAGAUCAUACCAUUGGACUGGGCAAGAACUCCCAGAACUUUAGUGGAGCAAGUGACUGGUUCACAAAACUAACCCAAUAUCAGGCAGAACAAGAAUUAAUUAAAUACCAAGGAAAUGACCUGGCGGAUUUUCCUACUAAGUCAGCCAGUACUGAAAUUAUUAAGAUAUGCAAUUUGAAUGAACUCCAAAAAGAUUGAGUUAAGUCAAAUUACCUAUGAUAACUUAUUUAACAAACAAUGCUAUGCACCUGGAUGGCUACCUGCUUCUUCCUGAGUCCUUAAAGUUUCCAUUAUCAAAAGCUCUGCACUCCAUGACUUAUCAUGGAAGAGAUAAAAGGAUCCAAAUUGUGAAAAAAUAUUGAUGGGGCGACUCUUCUAAAAGUGCUAAAUGUUUGGCUUGUCAAACCCAUAAUUCUGAUAAGACAAUCAAAAGUUUAGGUGGUGUAUUUUUACCAUUUGAGGGAUCACUUGAACUUUCACAGGUAGACUGUGAAUUUCGAUUUCUACCCUUAAUGAGGUGUCAUAAUGUUCUUGUAAUACUUUGCAUGUUUUCUGAUUGUAUAAAAGCUUUCCCAUGUAGAAAAGCUGAUGCUAUGAUGAUAGUUAAGAAGUUAUUAGUGGCUGGGCAUAGUAGCUCAUACCCAUAAUCCCAGCACUUUGGGAGGCUGAAGCAGGAAGAUUGCUUGAGGCCAGGAGUUCAAGAUCAGCCUGCAGCCUGAGCAAACAUAUAACUAAUUCUCUUCUAAUCUUAGCCAGCUUGAUCACACAUAAAAUUCCUUUCACAAGAUUCAUCUUCCACAAACCUUCUACAACUUUUUCAUUCAUUCACUUUUUGUCCUAUACUUUUACUCCUCUCAUUUUAGAACAACAAACCAUUCUAGUUUAAAACAAGAUACUGAGAGCUCAUCUCUACAAAAACAAAAAAAAUUAGUCAGGCAUGGUAGCAUGACCUGUAGUCCCAGCUACUCUGGUGGCUGAGGUGGGAGUAUUGCCUGAUCCUGAGCCCAGGAUUUCAGUGCUGCAGUGAGUUACAAUUGUGCCACUACACUCAAGCCUGGGCAGCAGAACCAAACCCCCAUGUCUAAAAAAAAAAGGACAAAAGAAAAAGAAAGAGAAAAAGAAGUUAUUAGAAAAUGUGUUCCCUUUAUGGGGCAUCCCUGGAAAAAUAUCCAGCAACAGAGGAACCCACUUUACUGAUCAAAUUAUAAGUCAGUCAAAUAAGAUAUUUCAAACACGAUGGUAUUAGGUACGGCUAACUGAAUUGAUUGAAUUGCUUUAUUCAAAGAUGUUACCAGUUGAUGGCAAUUAGAUCCACUACCACUGGAAAACAUACAUUGAUCUCUUAUAAAAGAGUUACUGAAAUACCUAUGCCCUUAAUAAUGGAAACUCAGGUAUUGGCCCCUCUUAUAAACUCUGACAUGGCUGAAUAGUGCCAGGCUUUAAUGCAUUAUCCCAAAGCAUAUUUUCACCAGCUAAAAGAAACCCGUUGUGGCCUGUCAAAUGAUGAUAAUCAGAUCUUUCACAGUCUAAAACUCAGAAAUUGGGUCUUUUGGAAGUGACACCUGGGAAAGACUGCUCUUGACCUCUAGUGGAAGGGGACAAUACCAAGUUUUCUGCAGCAAACUUCGGGGCCUUAAGUAUUGGAUCCACAUCUCUCAGCUCAAAGUGGGCCCUCAAGACUCCUGAAACUGUACACCUAUUAGAGAUCUUAAGGUGAAACUGACUACAGAAGAUUUGGCCAUAAGCAGAUGGCAUUCUAGAUGCGGACAGCUCUCCCAAGAUUGAUGAUCAAGACUUCUCUGGUAUCACAAAAGUCUUGUCUUUUUCAUUGUGUUUCUUUUUAUUCUAAUCUCUUCUCUUUUCUUACAGGAAAAUCCAUGGGACCAUAAUCUGUGAAUGGCUUUAGUGAAGGCUUAUGCUCUAGCAAGAAACCAGAGCAAUUUUGGGGUGUGUGGACUAAUGCCCCCAAAUGAUAAAACAAUUCCAUUAAUGCCAGUGCCUCUUUGUUU